UACAGUUGAAAAUCGUAGGAGAUCGCGAUCUUUACCUCGUCGCGACACCGGCCGAAGACAACGCUCACGUGCUCGCCCUUCUUGGCCCUCUUCAACCUUGGGACACCAUGCUCCAUUACCGUUCAAGAAAAAGAAAGGAACGUAAAGGAGUAUGAAAUGAAAAGAAAGAAGGAAGGAAGGAAGGAAGGAAGGAAGGAAGGAAGGAAGGAAGGAAGGAAGGAAGGAAGCAAGGAAAGAAGGAAGGUCGGAAGCUCCUUCUCUCGGCUCGCAUCGUGGUCCACCGCGGAAGAACUGCUGGAACUCGGAUCGAAUAAGAAGAGAAAGACGGAGAAGAAGAAGAAGACGAAGAAGAAAAAUACGAAGGAGAAGACGAAGGAGAAGAUGAAGAAGAAGGAGGAGAAGAGGCUGCGGCCCUUUUGCACGAGGCUCGCUAGCAGAUUGGACAGGACGGCUCCCUGCACGUUUGCUAUUCGUGCGAGGGCCAUGAACCCCGAACAGGUUGCCCCCUUGGACGUUCACCUUCUGUAGGAACACCGUUCCCCCUCCCUGCAACAGGCUUCUCGAAAACCUGGCUCGCUGGCCCUUCCUUGUGCUCCAUCUCGUUCCAAGGACUCGUCCGUCUCUUUCCAACCCUCCUCACCUUCUCUUUCUCCCCAUUUUUCUCCCCGUCCACGAAAGCUGGCCACCCUGACCCUGAGGACCUAUGUCGCUUCUCUUCCCCACCGUACUCGGACCCCUCAACACACCUACCACCCGUUCGUGCGUACUAUAGUCACGCUACACCGACGGUGUUAGAUAAUCCGACGCGUUAAAAAUCUGUCGAUCUUCUAAGAACACCUUUGAAGGUCUAAACACGAUAUA